rnacentral:rRNA from 1 species
GACGAACGCUGGCGGCGUGCUUAACACAUGCAAGUCGAACGCUGAACCCGCUUCGGUGGGGGAUGAGUGGCGAACGGGUGAGUAACACGUGGGCAACCUGCCCCCGGCUCUGGGAUAACUCCAAGAAAUUGGGGCUAAUACCGGAUGUGACCGCUGGCCGCAUGGUCUGGUGGUGGAAAGGGUUUCCGGCUGGGGAUGGGCCCGCGGCCUAUCAGCUUGUUGGUGGGGUAGUGGCCUACCAAGGCGACGACGGGUAGCCGGCCUGAGAGGGUGACCGGCCACACUGGGACUGAGACACGGCCCAGACUCCUACGGGAGGCAGCAGUGGGGAAUAUUGCGCAAUGGGCGGAAGCCUGACGCAGCGACGCCGCGUGGGGGAUGACGGCCUUCGGGUUGUAAACCUCUUUCAGCAGGGACGAAGCGCAAGUGACGGUACCUGCAGAAGAGGCACCGGCCAACUACGUG